rnacentral:lncRNA from 1 species
AAUAGACAACAUUCGAGUUCGAUGCAUUUCCGUCAAAAACUUCAGUUUUAGUGAAAGUCACUUGUGCGUUUAGGUGCGUUGUGACUUCCGUUUCAAUGUUGAGCGAGUGGUUGAAAAACUAUAAAGCUAUAUUGUACGAAUUAUUCAGCAAAUUAAAUUCUCAUAAUUGACAAUCUGCACCGCUGUCAUUAGGGAAUUGUGAUUAAGUACCUACUGAACAACCUUUAUUUCAAGUUUAUCCUGCACAAUGACGAUCACAAAGACGCUUGAUGAACGUUUAUAGAGCAGGGCUACAGGAGAGCCCCUUUAUCUGGAUAAUGACGUCACAAAGGCGCGUAUAAUUGAUGAGUUUUUUCCGGUGACGGAUGAACUCUAAA